rnacentral:rRNA from 1 species
GGGCCCGCACAAGCGGUGGAGUAUGUGGUUUAAUUCGAUGCAACGCGAAGAACCUUACCAGGGUUUGACAUCCUGCGAAUUUCUGGGAAACCGGAAAGUGCCUUCGGGAGCGCAGUGACAGGUGGUGCAUGGCUGUCGUCAGCUCGUGUCGUGAGAUGUUGGGUUAAGUCCCGCAACGAGCGCAACCCACGUCUUUAGUUGCCAGCAGUUCGGCUGGGCACUCUAUGGAAACUGCCCGUGAUAAGCGGGAGGAAGGUGUGGAUGACGUCAAGUCCUCAUGGCCCUUACGUCCUGGGCUACACACGUGCUACAAUGGCCGGUACAGAGGGCAGCCACACCGCAAGGUGGAG